rnacentral:rRNA from 1 species
CCUAAAGGGGCCGUAGCUGGCCAGGCAAGUCUAUCGGGAAAUCUGCGCGCUUAACGCGCAGGCGUCCGGUGGAAACUGCAUGGCUUGGGACCGGAAGACCAGAGGGGUACGUCCGGGGUAGGAGUGAAAUCCCGUAAUCCUGGACGGACCACCGGUGGCGAAAGCGCCUCUGGAAGACGGAUCCGACGGUGAGGGACGAAAGCUAGGGUCUCGAACCGGAUUAGAUACCCGGGUAGUCCUAGCCGUAAACGAUGCUCGCUAGGUGUGGCGCAGGCUACGAGCCUGCGCUGUGCCGUAGGGAAGCCGUGAAGCGAGCCGCCUGGGAAGUACGUCCGCAAGGAUGAAACUUAAAGGAAUUGGCGGGGGAGCACUACAACCGGAGGAGCCUGCGGUUUAAUUGGACUCAACGCCGGACAUCUCACCAGCUCCGACAGCAGUGAUGACGAUCAGGUUGAUGACCUUAUUCGACGCUGCUGAGAGGAGGUGCAUGGCCGCCGUCAGCUCGUACCGUGAGGCGUCCUGUUAAGUCAGGCAACGAGCGAGACCCGCACCUCUAGUUGCCAGCAGCAUCUCGCGAUGGCUGGGUACACUAGGGGGACUGCCGCUGCCAAAGCGGAGGAAGGAACGGGCAACGGUAGGUCAGUAUGCCCCGAAUGAGCUGGGCAACACGCGGGCUACAAUGGCCGGGACAAUGGGACGCCACCCCGAGAGGGGGCGCUAAUCUCCUAAACCUGGUCGUAGUUCGGAUUGCGGGCUGAAACUCGCCCGCAUGAAGCUGGAUUCGGUAGUAAUCGCGUGUCAGAAGCGCGCGGUGAAUACGUCCCUGCUCCUUGUACCCACCGCCCGU